rnacentral:rRNA from 1 species
UUAAGUGACUAAGCGUACAAGGUGGAUGCCUUGGCAAUCAGAGGCGAGGAAGGACGUGCUAAUCUGCGAAAAGCUUGGAUGAGUCGAUAAGAGGCGUUUAAUCCAAGAUGUCCGAAUGGGGAAACCCAGUAGAUGAAGAAUCUACUAUCACUUACUGAAUCCAUAGGUAAGUGAGGCAAACCGGGAGAACUGAAACAUCUAAGUACCCCGAGGAAAAGAAAUCAACCGAGAUUUCGUUAGUAGCGGCGAGCGAACGCGAAGGAGCCUGUUAGUGAUAAUGACAGAGACAGAGGAACAAGCUGGGAAGCUUGGCGAUACAGGGUGAUAGCCCCGUACUCGAAGUCCAGGUCAUGGUACUAAGCUAACGACAAGUAGGGCGGGACACGUGAUAUCCUGUUUGAAGAUGGGGGGACCAUCCUCCAAGGCUAAAUACUCCUGAUUGACCGAUAGUGAACCAGUACUGUGAAGGAAAGGCGAAAAGAACCCCGGUGAGGGGAGUGAAAUAGAACCUGAAACCUUGUACGUACAAGCAGUGGGAGCCCUUUUGGGGUGACUGCGUACCUUUUGUAUAAUGGGUCAGCGACUUAUAUUUUGUAGCGAGGUUAACCGAAUAGGGGAGCCGAAGGGAAACCGAGUCUUAACUGGGCGUCUAGUUGCAAGGUAUAGACCCGAAACCCGGUGAUCUAGCCAUGGGCAGGUUGAAGGUUGGGUAACACUAACUGGAGGACCGAACCGACUAAUGUUGAAAAAUUAGCGGAUGACUUGUGGCUGGGGGUGAAAGGCCAAUCAAACCGGGAGAUAGCUGGUUCUCCCCGAAAUCUAUUUAGGUAGAGCCUUGAGCGGACACCUUCGGGGGUAGAGCACUGUUUCGGCUAGGGGUCCAUCCCGGAUUACCAACCCGAUGCAAACUACGAAUACCGAAGAGUGAUACUCAGGAGACACACGGCGGGUGCUAACGUCCGUCGUGGAGAGGGAAACAACCCAGACCGCCAGCUAAGGUCCCAAAGUCUAUAUUAAGUGGGAAACGAAGUGGGAAGGCUUAGACAGCUAGGAUGUUGGCUUAGAAGCAGCCAUCAUUUAAAGAAAGCGUAAUAGCUCACUAGUCGAGUCGGCCUGCGCGGAAGAUGUAACGGGGCUCAAAUAUAGCACCGAAGCUGCGGCAUCAGUAGCAAUACUGUUGGGUAGGGGAGCGUUCUGUAAGCGGAUGAAGGUGGCUCGAGAGGGCUGCUGGACGUAUCAGAAGUGCGAAUGCUGACAUAAGUAACGAUAAAACGGGUGAAAAACCCGUUCGCCGGAAGACCAAGGGUUCCUGUCCAACGUUAAUCGGGGCAGGGUGAGUCGGCCCCUAAGGCGAGGCUGAAAAGCGUAGUCGAUGGGAAACGGGUUAAUAUUCCCGUACUUGGAUAAACUGCGAUGUGGGGACGGAGCAGGUUAGGUUAUCGCACUGUUGGAUAUGUGCGUUUAAGUUGGUAGGUGAGAAGUUUAGGCAAAUCCGGACUUCUUUAACACCGAGAGAUGAUGACGAGGCUCUACGGAGCUGAAGUAACCGAUACCACACUUCCAGGAAAAGCCACUAAGCUUCAGGUUUAUCUAAACCGUACUGAAAACCGACACAGGUGGUCAGGUAGAGAAUACUCAGGCGCUUGAGAGAACUCGGGUGAAGGAACUAGGCAAAAUAGCACCGUAACUUCGGGAGAAGGUGCGCCGGCGUAGAUUGUAGUCCCUUGCGGGCGAAGGUUGAACCGGUCGAAGAUACCAGCUGGCUGCAACUGUUUAUUAAAAACACAGCACUCUGCAAACACGAAAGUGGACGUAUAGGGUGUGAUGCCUGCCCGGUGCUGGAAGGUUAAUUGAUGGUGUAAUCGAAAGAGAAGCUCCUGAUCGAAGCCCCAGUAAACGGCGGCCGUAACUAUAACGGUCCUAAGGUAGCGAAAUUCCUUGUCGGGU